AAGUCGUAACAAGGUCUCCGUUGGUGAACCAGCGGAGGGAUCAUUACAGAGUUGCAAAACUCCCCAAAACCAUUGUGAACCUUACCUUCAACCGUUGCUUCGGCGGGCGGGCCACAGCGCCCCCCGGGCCCCCCCAGCGGGGCGCCCGCCGGAGGAUACCCAAACUCUUGAUACUUUAUGGCCUCUCUGAGUCUUCUGUACUGAAUAAGUCAAAACUUUCAACAACGGAUCUCUUGGUUCUG
rnacentral:misc_RNA from 1 species